rnacentral:lncRNA from 1 species
CCCUCACUAUAUUGGUCGAUUGUUGGUGGGCUAUAGUACGCCCCAAUCACCGUACCAGAUAUUGCAUUUACCGUGAACAAGUAUCAUAAUUUAUGCAAGCACCCACCAAGCAGCAUUGGAAAGCAGGAAAGUGCAUUUUGCGUUACUUGGUUGGUACUAUAGAGCUGGAGCUUGAAGAGCACAAGAAGAAGGAUCUUCAGGUGCUGGCCUUU